rnacentral:pre_miRNA from 1 species
AGAUGCAUCACCUGGGGAUUUCCUUAAAAUGCAGACUCUGAUUCAGGAGGUCUGGGGUGGGGCCCCAGAUCCUGUAUUUCUAAUAAGCUCCUAGGUGAUGCUGAU